rnacentral:rRNA from 1 species
UGGCGGCAGUAGCGCGGUGGUCCCACCUGACCCCAUGCCGAACUCAGAAGUGAAACGCCGUAGCGCCGAUGGUAGUGUGGGGUCUCCC